rnacentral:rRNA from 1 species
AACGAACGCUGGGGGCAUGCCUAACACAUGCAAGUCGAACGAACCCUUCGGGGUUAGUGGCGCACGGGUGCGUAACGCGUGGGAAUCUGCCCUUUGCUUCGGAAUAACUCAGGGAAACUUGUGCUAAUACCGGAUGAUGUCUUCGGACCAAAGAUUUAUCGGCAAGGGAUGAGCCCGCGUAGGAUUAGGUAGUUGGUGGGGUAAAGGCCUACCAAGCCGACGAUCCUUAGCUGGUCUGAGAGGAUGAUCAGCCACACUGGGACUGAGACACGGCCCAGACUCCUACGGGAGGCAGCAGUGGGGAAUAUUGGACAAUGGGCGCAAGCCUGAUCCAGCAAUGCCGCGUGAGUGAUGAAGGCCCUCGGGUCGUAAAGCUCUUUUACCAGGGAUGAUAAUGACAGUACCUGGAGAAUAAGCUCCGGCUAACUCCGUG